GACGAACGCUGGCGGCGUGCCUAAUACAUGCAAGUUGAGCGCUGAAGGUUGGUACUUGUACCAACUGGAUGAGCAGCGAACGGGUGAGUAACGCGUGGGGAAUCUGCCUUUGAGCGGGGGACAACAUUCGGAAACGAAUGCUAAUACCGCAUAAAAACUUUAAACACAAGCUUUAAGUUUGAAAGAUGCAAUUGCAUCACUCAAAGAUGAUCCCGCGUUGUAUUAGCUAGUUGGUGAGGUAAAGGCUCACCAAGGCGAUGAUACAUAGCCGACCUGGGAGGGUGAUCGGCCACAUUGGGACUGAGACACGGCCCAAACUCCUACGGGAGGCAGCAGUAGGGAAUCUUCGGCAAUGGACGAAAGUCUGACCGGGCAACGCCGCGUGAGUGAAGAAGGUUUUCGGAUCGUAAAACUCUGUUGGUAGAGAAGAACGUUGGUGAGGGUGGAAAGCUCAUCAAGUGACGGUAACUACCCAGAAAGGGACGGCUAACUACGUG
rnacentral:rRNA from 1 species